AGAAGCCCCCUGCUCCUUCAUUGCAGUUCGGGAGGCGUAGGUCAAAUGGGCAUGCUGAUUGCCUUGGACACCUUGCUGCAGCAGAUGAAAGGAGAGAAAAGUGUGGAUGUGUAUGGGGUGGUCUUGAGGCUGGUGAGGAGCUGCUGCCUGAUGACACCGACACUGGAUAAGUACAUGUAUCUGUAUGAGUGCAUUCGUGACACUAUCACCCAGAAACAAGACUAGGGCCAUAACAGGGCCUGGCCUUCACUUUCUCUGAGACAACGGGAGAGCCUGGAGAUGAGCAAGGGCCCAGCAGGACUGUGAGCCUGGACCAAAAUCAGAAGUUCUCCUGCAGGGAUGGGCAGCUGCCCCAGGGAACCAGCUCUGAGCCCAUGUGCAGGAGUUGAAAUAAUGGGAGUCAACAACAGGAACCCUGUGCUGCCUCCUGAGAGCUAGGGGCUUAUGUCUGCAUUCAGCAAACGACAGCCCCCCCAUGGCAAGAACAAGGCACCUUUCAAGGAUGCGCUGCCAGCAAGAAAAAGCCACCCCGAGUCUUCUUAGUUCCUAUUUGGCAGUCUUGGAACCCCGGGAUCCCCAGCGCUCACACAGACAGAAUUUAUGGCCAGUCUGAUAAUGGAAUCCAUAUGUCUGAUAAAGUCAUUAUCUGAAACUAAGAUAUAUCUACAUUCUGGAUAAUUUGUGCAGUUGACCCGAAUAACUUGUGCAAUUCUAGAGGGUUUUGUGUUUUUUAAAAAAUGAUAUAGUUGGAAAAAGGGCAGAAAGGUGACCUCUUCUUUGCAAAAGCACAACUAAAAAUGAACAUGGAUCAUCUUCUGGGUGCAAUAAAUAAACAAAUGAUGGUUUUCCAAACCAUUGCCUUGACGAAUAUGACUGUGGAGCGCAUAUACAGAUUUAUUUUAAAAAAAAAAUCCUGUGUAAUGUGGAGAGAAAGAUUAAAACAAGGGGGAAAUGUUGAAUCAGAACAAAAGAAUUUCAGUAAUCUAAGGAAACCGGUAGAAAACUGAUACUAGGUAACUACAGGUAAAUGGUUUAUCACAACCUACAAAUAGCCUAUCUGGUGACAAUUUACAUAGAUUCUUAAAGAAUUUGACAACUUCCUGAAGGUUAGAUCUAUUUAGACAGGCAAUUAUAUAGAGUUGGCUGCUGGAUCCAAACAGAGGGACCAUUUUGCCUUGCUUGUUACUUCCCAAAACAUGUGGCUCUACUCUGUUGGAAACAGACUGCUUAGCUAUGUGAAUUGUUGGUUUCACCCAUUAUGUUCUUGAAGACAGCUCCCUUGAUCCAUAUAACAUAAGCUGCUUGAAGCAAGACCUCUUCAGUGCCAGAGAAAACUGAUAGGGCCCAAAAUAAAUCACCAACAUCCUCUAUUUCUCCAUCAUAUUCCUGAUGCCCAAGUCAGCUCCUGUGGUCACUUUACAGCAGAGGACCAUGGGAAGUGUUACCAUGUCCUGCAGGGCACAUUUAAGGCCUACAGCUGGAUCACCUUCAGAACUGAGCUCCGAGAAAGUACCCCACCUUUCCUGCUCUCUGCCAGGCUUUGUAUCUAGGUCUAUUUUUCCUUCUAUUGAAGGACAGGGGGGGAGGGGGGUUCUUCCAUCUCAAACCAUUCCAUAGGAACUUUGACCCCUCCACUUCUUUCUUUGGACUAAUCCAACCCAAUUUUCUUCUUUUCCUUUGGUCCACUUUCAAAUCCUUUAUUAAAUUACCACAAUUCUUAAAAUGGGAGAGAGAGA